rnacentral:rRNA from 1 species
UACGUAGGUGGCAAGCGUUGUCCGGAUUUAUUGGGUUUAAAGGGUGCGUAGGCGGCGCGGAAAGUUGGGUGUGAAAUCCCUCGGCUCAACCGAGGAACUGCGCCCAAAACUACCGUGCUCGAGGAAGAUAGAGGUGAGCGGAACUUACGGUGGAGCGGUGAAAUGCGUUGAUAUUGUAAGGAACACCCGUGGCGAAAGCGGCUCACUGGGUCUUUUCUGACGCUGAUGCACGAAAGCUAGGGGAGCAAACGGG